rfam:Ovis aries breed Texel chromosome 4, whole genome shotgun sequence.
UCCCUGGUGGUCCAGUGGUUAGGACUCUGUGCUAUCACUACCAAGGGUGCAGGUUCAAUCCCUGGUCGGGGAA